AACGAACGCUGGCGGUAUGCCUUACACAUGCAAGUCGAACGGUAGAGGGGCAACCCUUGAGAGUGGCGAACGGGUGAGUAAUACAUCGGAACGUGCCCAGUCGUGGGGGAUAACGUAGCGAAAGCUACGCUAAUACCGCAUACGACCUGAGGGUGAAAGCGGGGGAUCGCAAGACCUCGCGCGAUUGGAGCGGCCGAUGGCAGAUUAGGUAGUUGGUGGGGUAAAGGCCUACCAAGCCUGCGAUCUGUAGCUGGUCUGAGAGGACGACCAGCCACACUGGGACUGAGACACGGCCCAGACUCCUACGGGAGGCAGCAGUGGGGAAUUUUGGACAAUGGGCGAAAGCCUGAUCCAGCCAUACCGCGUGCGGGAAGAAGGCCUUCGGGUUGUAAACCGCUUUUGUCAGGGAAGAAAUCUUCUGGGCUAAUACCUCGGGAGGAUGACGGUACCUGAAGAAUAAGCACCGGCUAACUACGUGCCAGCCGCCGCAGUAACAC
rnacentral:rRNA from 1 species